rnacentral:rRNA from 1 species
AACUUAAGCAUAUCAAUAAGCGGAGGAAAAGAAACUAACUAGGAUUCCCUUAGUAACGGCGAGUGAACCGGGAUGAGCUCAAAUUUGAAAUCUGGCGUCUUUCAGGCGUCCGAGUUGUAAUCUAUAGAGGCGUUUUCCGCGCCGGACCGCGUCCAAGUCUCUUGGAAUAGAGUAUCAAAGAGGGUGACAAUCCCGUACUUGACGCGACAACCGGUGCUCUGUGAUACGUUCUCAAUGAGUCGAGUUGUUUGGGAAUGCAGCUCUAAAUGGGUGGUAAAUUCCAUCUAAGGCUAAAUAUUGGCGAGAGACCGAUAGCGAACAAGUACCGUGAGGGAAAGAUGAAAAGCACUUUGGAAAGAGAGUUAAACAGCACGUGAAAUUGUUAAAAGGGAAACGAUUGAAGUCAGUCGUGUGGGAAGUAUUCAGCCGUCUUUGGCGGUGUAUUUGCUUCUCACGGGUCAACAUCAGUUUGAUCCGGUAGAAAAAGGCGGGAAGAAGGUGGCACCCUCGGGUGUGUUAUAGCUUCCUGUCAUAUGUGCCGGACCAGACUGAGGAACGCAGCUUGCAGCAAUGCCGGGGUCGCCCACGUACAAGCUUAGGAUGUUGACAUAAUGGCUUUAAACGAC